rnacentral:rRNA from 1 species
CAGCAGUGGGGAAUAUUGCGCAAUGGACGAAAGUCUGACGCAGCGACGCCGCGUGAGGGAUGAAGGCUUCGGGUUGUAAACCUCUGUCAGGAGGGAAGAACCGCCAUGGUAGUAACUGCCCAUGGUCUGACGGUACCUCCAAAGGAAGCACCGGCUAACUCCGUGCCAGCAGCCGCGGUAAUACGGAGGGUGCAAGCGUUAAUCGGAAUCACUGGGCGUAAAGCGCGCGUAGGCGGCUUUGUAAGUCAGAGGUGAAAGCCCACGGCUCAACCGUGGAACUGCCUUUGAUACUGCAAGGCUACGAGUUUGUGAGAGGAUAGUGGAAUUCCUGGUGUAGGAGUGAAAUCCGUAGAGAUCAGGAGGAACAUCAGUGGCGAAGGCGACUAUCUGGCACAACACUGACGCUGAGGUGCGAAAGCGUGGGUAUCAAACAGGAUUAGAUACCCUGGUAGUCCACGCUGUAAACGAUGAUUACUAGGUGCUGGGGGCUUGUCCUUCGGUGCCGUAGCUAACGCAUUAAGUAAUCCGCCUGGGGAGUACGGUCGCAAGGCUGAAACUCAAAGAAAUUGACGGGGGCCCGCACAAGCG